rnacentral:rRNA from 1 species
UACGAAGGGGGCUAGCGUUGCUCGGAAUCACUGGGCGUAAAGCGCACGUAGGCGGCUCUUUAAGUCAGGGGUGAAAUCCUGGAGCUCAACUCCAGAACUGCCUUUGAUACUGAGGAUCUUGAGUCCGGGAGAGGUGAGUGGGACUCCGAGUGUAGAGGUGAAAUUCGUAGAUAUUCGGAAGAACACCAGUGGCGAAGGCGGCUCACUGGCCCGGUACUGACGCUGAGGUGCGAAAGCGUGGGGAGCAAACAGG